UACGUAGGGGGCAAGCGUUAUCCGGAAUCACUGGGCGUAAAGGGUGCGUAGGUGGCUCAUCAAGCCAGAGGUGAAAGGCAUUGGCUCAACCAAUGUAAGCCUUUGGAACUGACGAGCUUGAGUGCAGGAGAGGUAAGUGGAAUUCCUAGUGUAGAGGUGAAAUUCGUAGAUAUUAGGAGGAACACCAGUGGCGAAGGCGACUUACUGGACUGUAACUGACACUGAGGCACGAAAGCGUGGGGAGCGAACA
rnacentral:rRNA from 1 species